GGCUACUACAUCCAAGGAAGGCAGCAGGCGCGCAAAUUACCCAAUCCCGAUUCGGGGAGGUAGUGACAAUAAAUACUGAUACAGGGCUCUUUUGGGUCUUGUAAUUGGAAUGAGUACAAUUUAAUUCCCUUAACGAGGAACAAUUGGAGGGCAAGUCUGGUGCCAGCAGCCGCGGUAAUUCCAGCUCCAAUAGCGUAUAUUAAAGUUGUUGCAGUUAAAAAGCUCGUAGUUGAACCUUGGGCCUGGCUGGCCGGUCCGCCUCACCGCGUGCACUGGUCCGGCCGGGCCUUUCCCUCUGGGGAGCCACAUGCCCUUCGCUGGGCGUGUCGGGGAACCAGGACUUUUACUUUGAAAAAAUUAGAGUGUUCAAAGCAGGCUUAUGCUCGAAUACAUUAGCAUGGAAUAAUAGAAUAGGACGUGCGGUUCUAUUUUGUUGGUUUCUAGGACCGCCGUAAUGAUUAAUAGGGACAGUCGGGGGCAUCAGU
rnacentral:rRNA from 2 species